CCUACGGGUGGCUGCAGUAGGGAAUAUUGCUCAAUGGGGGAAACCCUGAAGCAGCAACGCCGCGUGGAGGAUGAAGGUUUUCGGAUUGUAAACUCCUUUUGUUAGAGAAGAUAAUGACGGUAUGUAACGAAUAAGCACCGGCUAACUCCGUGCCAGCAGCCGAGGUAAUACGGAGGGUGCAAGCGUUACUCGGAAUCACUGGGCGUAACGCGAGCGGAGGCGGUAUAGCAAGUCAGGUGUGAAAUCCUAUGGCUUAACCAUAGAAUUGCAUUUGAAACUGUUAUUCUAGAGUAUGGGAGAGGUAGGUGGAAUUCUUGGUGUAGGGGUAAAAUCCGUAGAGAUCAAGAGGAAUACUCAUUGCGAAGGCGACCUGCUAGAACAUUACUGACGCUGAUGCACGAAAGCGUGGGGAGCAAACAGGAUUAGAUACCCCGGUAGUC
rnacentral:rRNA from 1 species